AAGGGAACGUUGUCUUACUCGACAGGUGCUCAAUACACCAAGAUGAUAUGCUCAUCCGCUCGUGGCUGGUCAGAUUUCUUUCUCAAUCCAUGGGCUGAGGAGGCGGUAGAAUUUAGAUCAAAGUAAGCUUUUUUUUUUGUGUCAUGAUCAUGUUAGUUUUAUUUAGAUGUCUGUUUAUAGAUUUCUUGGUUAACACUAAAACAUUUGCAAUCCUCUGUUUUGCAGCUUCGUGCGAAAGACAGAUCAAGGAUCCGUCAUCAAUCCUUAUUAGCCCAUGUAUCCAAGUCGCUAUGUCCCAUUUUUCAUCUAUUCGGCCCUAGGCAUGAACUAUUUUUCGGUUAUCCUGGAUUUAUAUUCUGAAUUUUAUAAGCAC
rnacentral:lncRNA from 1 species